UCAGAGAGUGUUGGUUUGCUGCUUGGUUGCACACAGCUGUGUGCUGCAGACUCUGGUCUGAGUGUCUCACUGUGACCUGCAGCCUCCUCUCUCUCCUGAGAGACACUCAUCCUAGCAGCAGUGGGAGUGUCUCCAG